AGGCGGGUAGCUCAGCGGCAGAGCGGGUGCCUUACAAGCACCGGGUCGCAGGUUCAAUCCCUGUCCCGCCUA
rnacentral:tRNA from 1 species